GACGAACGCUGGCGGCGUGCUUAACACAUGCAAGUCGUACGGUAAGGCCCUUUCGGGGGUACACGAGUGGCGAACGGGUGAGUAACACGUGAGUAACCUGCCCACAACUUUUGGAUAACGCUAGGAAACUGGUGCUAAUACUGGAAAUGUGCUCCUGCUGCAUGGUGGGGGUUGGAAAGCUCCGGCGGGUGUGGAUGGACUCGCGGCCUAUUAGCUUGUUGGGGGGGUAGUGGCCUACCAAGGCGGCGACGGGUAGCCGGCCAGAGAGGGUGACCGGCCACACUGGGACUGAGAGAAGGCCCAGACGCCUAAGGGAGGCAGCAGUGGGGAAGAUUGCACAAGCGGCGCCAGCCUGAUGCAGCAACGCCUCGUGCGGGAUGACGGCCUUCGGGUUGUAAACCGCUUUCAGCAGGGACGAAGCUUUUUGUGACGGUACCUGCAGAAGAAGCACCGGCUAACUACGUG
rnacentral:rRNA from 1 species